AGAGUUUGAUCCUGGCUCAGGGCGAACGCUGGCGGCAGGCUUAACACAUGCGAGUCGAGCGGUAACAGGACUAGCUUGCUAGUUGCUGACGAGCGCGGACGGGUGCGUAACACGUAGGAAUUUACCCAGUAGCGGGGGAUAGCCCGGAGAAAUCCGGAUUAAUACCGCAUACGCCCUACGGGGGAAAGCAGGGGAUUCUUUCUUUGGAGAGAACCUUGCACUAUUGGAUGAGCCUGCGUCGGAUUAGCUAGUUGGUGGGGUAAAGGCCUACCAAGGCAACGAUCCGUAGCUGGUCUGAGAGGAUGAUCAGCCACACUGGGACUGAGACACGGCCCAGACUUCUACGGGAGGCAGCAGUGGGGAAUAUUGCACAAUGGGCGCAAGCCUGAUGCAGCCAUGCCGCGUGUGUGAAGAAGGCUCUAGGGUUGUAAAGCACUUUCAGCGAGGAGGAAAGGUUGCAAGUUAAUACCUUGCAGCUGUGACGUUACUCGCAGAAGAAGCACCGGCUAACUCCGUGCCAGCAGCCGCGGUAAU
rnacentral:rRNA from 1 species